rnacentral:lncRNA from 1 species
CCUCUCCCUCUCACUGAUCUCUCUCAUGAUGAAAUUGUAUAAUGCUAUGCACAUAUUACUAUUGAGAACUCUAGUUAAUUUUUCAAUGCCAACUCGCUUAAAUUCGAGUAACAGCUAGCAAAGAAAUGCCACCAAAUUGGAAGAUGCGACUCAACUGAAGCCUACCCAAGCAACAUGAAGAGGUGCUGGUUCUUGUUGGGAUAGCAACGGCA